CUGACCCGGGUCCCAAUUAGCCCCUCGACGAGCCAGUUCAUGAGCACAACUAUUACAAAAUCGAUAGGCGAAAGACAAAUCAACCUUUACAAAGUCCACCAAAGACAUCAAUCUGAUUUACUUGAAGAUGACACCAGCCGUAGCUUGAUCAUAAUCAGCUGAUUUGAGAGCUCGCACUAGGACAGAGCAAUCAGUUUCUACUGAGACAUGAGAAAUUCCGUUGUUUGCUGCGGCGCGCAGAGCAUAAAGACAUGCCAUAGCCUCUGCACACAAAGCAUCAUGCACCAGCUCAAUUCUCCCAGCUCCAGCUAGCACACAGUGGCCACCAUGGUCCCGUACUACAAAUCCCCAUCCACCGGUCUUGCCUUCAUCAAAGAAAGCCCCAUCAAAAUUCAGCUUCAGUUCGCCCAGGAUAGGGGGAUGCCAUUUCCUCUGCGCUUGAACGUUUGGUCGAGAUUUGGCCGGGCUCAGCUGACAGUGAUGUUUUAAUUAAUCGGUUAAGAGCAAAGUAUAAUGGUAGGCUAUAAGUCGGCUAAAUGCUGAGGUGGAGGAGAGAAAAGAGGAGAGAGGAGAAGCGGGCUGUAAACUUACAGCCGGCUUGGUCACAAGAACCAAGAAACUCUGUGAGAGAGACAAGUAGGCCUUAUAUUAAUUGUAAAGAGCUAACUAUUAUAUGGAUAGACUGAGAGAAAACUAUAAAGAAUCUUAUAGUCAAAAGAUCGGUUAUAUUAUUAGCCUUGAUCUAACAGUUUGAUUAAUGGGGGGAGAUUAGACUACUGCACAUGGUCAUGAAUGAGCCUAUCCCGAUUUUCUCAUCCUGAUCAGAGGUAUUCAUGCUAAUGGGAUGGUUAAAUUUAUGUUACCCUCUCAUGGUCUGUUUUUUUUU
rnacentral:sRNA from 1 species